UCUUCUGUUUCUUCUCUUCUCCACUGUUCUUCUCUUGCUGCGAGUAUUUGAGAGAAAAUCUAGAGAUUUCGAUUGAGAGAAUCGAUUUACGAUGAGGAUUAGAUGCAGUAUAAGUAUCUACUGAUGUUGAUGAAGAGUUGAAAGUGGUGCUGAUGUUUUAUGAAGCAAAAUUAGGGUUUUGAGAUGAAUUCUGGAUCCGUAUGAAAUUGAUGGGUUAAUCGGGUUGUUGUAAUAUGAAGAUUAAGAGGGUUUAUGUUUAAUUGAAGCAGUACAGUCGUUCUGGUAGAUGAAUCAAGAGUUAGUUUUCUCAGAGAUUUAAUUAGGGUUCCAUAGGAAUUGCAGAAGAGAAUGGGAAGAUGAAAUUGAUGCUCAAGAGGAUUGAUUGAAGAUGGGUUGGUUCUUAAUUGAAGAAUGAUUGAAGAUGUAGAGUUAUUUGAGGAUUGAAUCAGGUGUUAGGGUUUCUGAAAAACCGUAAAGAGGGUGAAGAUUGAUGAACUUCGGUUGACUGGAAGUGAUAUACUGAUAAUGGAUUUGAAGUGUUUUGCUGAAUCAGGUUGAAGUAAAAAAGAAUAAAUUCCCAUGGCUUCAAUGGAACCAUUUGAGGUAAAUAUUCACCGAGAUGAUUUAUCUUAGCUAUUCAGUUUUAUUGAUACGUGCUUGAUAAUUGAAUUAAGAAUUAAGAUGUAUGUGUGAUGAAACUGGUAUUUCAAGUUGUUGUGUUGAUGAACACUAGGAUGUGCUUGUGAUGGACUGAGUUUAGAGAAAGGGAAUUAGAUGAAUGGUUGAGGAAGAUGUUUUCGAAGCUGCCGUGGUGCUAUAGAUUGCAGGGAAGGUUGGAACUCAUUCUUGAGCUGAGAAAAUACAGGCAAGAGUGAACUGUUGUCGAAGUUAAUGGAACUGGUAGCGAUGCGGCUGAAUGGUAGAUUCUGGUGUUGUGGUGUAGUGAAGUCAUAAGGGUUGUUGUGCAGAUGAAAUGAGAAAAUGGAUGAUCUGUGUAGUGAGAUGAACUUUGUGAAGUAUAAUCGAAUUGGUAGUGUUUGUGUGAGUUACAGAAUAUGGAAGAAGUUAUGGAGUUGAAAUUACAGGUCUGAGAAGGUACUGAAAUGUAUAUGAGUUGUGUUGUUGAGUGCGGUAGAAGAAUGAACUGUGUAUGUGUUAGUAUGAAAUGGAAAUGGGGUUUGUUGUUGAACUGCAGUUGCAGUUAUGAUGAUGUUGUUUGUGCAUUUGUAGGAUUGGAAUUGGGAAAUGGAGUUAGUAAUGGAACCAAGUUUGAAUCAGUCUGAGAUGUGUAGUAAGUGAUGAUGAUUGUAGGGAAUAGCUAAUAACUCCAGUGGAGGCUUGCUAAUGGUUUUGCAGUUUCAGAGACAGAUCAGAGUUGUGCAGCGGAAGCUUCGUGGCGUUGAGUCCGUUAGUUAGAUAGCUUCUGCUAUUUUUAUUUUUAUUUAUAAUUUAUUUGCAAAAUCAAAUGAUUAUUGUGUAUGUAUCAUUUGAGAGGAGUUCUUCUAUAUAUAUAUUUCAGAGCGGAGCUAGUUUUUGGGUUAAGCUUUGUAGCAGAUUUAUUAAUUGAAUGUUAAGUAGAUGUUUUAUA